rnacentral:rRNA from 1 species
GAUGAACGCUGGCGGCGUGCCUAAUACAUGCAAGUCGAGCGAACAGACGAGGAGCUUGCUCCUCUGACGUUAGCGGCGGACGGGUGAGUAACACGUGGAUAACCUACCUAUAAGACUGGGAUAACUUCGGGAAACCGGAGCUAAUACCGGAUAACAUGUUGAACCGCAUGGUUCAACAGUGAAUGACGGUCUUGCUGUCACUUAUAGAUGGAUCCGCGCCGCAUUAGCUAGUUGGUAAGGUAACGGCUUACCAAGGCAACGAUGCGUAGCCGACCUGAGAGGGUGAUCGGCCACACUGGAACUGAGACACGGUCCAGACUCCUACGGGAGGCAGCAGUAGGGAAUCUUCCGCAAUGGGCGAAAUCCUGACGGAGCAACGCCGCGUGAGUGAAGAAGGUCUUCGGAUCGUAAAACUCUGUUAUUAGGGAAGAACAAAUGUGUAAGUAACUAUGCACGUCUUGACGGUACCUAAUCAGAAAGCCACGGCUAACUACGUG